rnacentral:lncRNA from 1 species
GAUUGCCAUUAGUUCCAGUAUAUUGGCAGUACCAGAGGGCAACACACCAAGACAGCGAUUGGGACAACCAUGUGGUAUUUAUUGCAAUCAAAGUGAUCAGCUGGUACAGAAUAUUUGUCAGUUCAAGAGGAUUUUUCCUACACGAGGCUACAAUUUGCAUUAUUAUAUUAUAUGUAUAUUUAUACAUACAUAUCACGAAUGACACGCUGUACAGGACAGAAGACACACUCAUUCUCAGAGAAAAAAAAAAAAAAUGAAACGGCACAUUCCUCGUUUUUUUUUUCCCCCAUUGAAAUUGGGGACUGGUGUGUCCAUCCCGUACGCUAAAAAAAUGGGAGCCUGAAGCCCCAUGGUUCACAUCAUAGCAUACUCAAAUGGUUUUCCCUGCCAAACAAACGAAAUACAGCACUUUUCUCUUCACCUUUGCAUGGAAUGUCUCAGUUUUGACUCUCGAGCAUACAAUUAGUACAAACACAAGGGAAAAAAAAAGGGGGGGGGGGACAGAAAUGUGUAGACUACACAAUAGGCAAUGCCGUCUCUUUCUUCCCUAUAGGUACAUGUACCAGCUGCCAAAACACAACAAAAGUAUACGAAGAUUAAAAAAAAAAUUUGUGGCACAAUUUUACUGAAAAACGAGAGCUCUCCAUAACAUGCUGCCGGCCCCAGCGUAGAUUUUCAGUGGCAUUACUGGCGCAAGCGUGUCACACAGUACCGGACCACCUGCCGUUUUUUCAGAAUGCUUGUGUGUACAGAUUUCUGCAACGCUAGCUGUUGCAGCCCUAGAGAAAUGAUAAUGCAGAAGGCACCCCCUGUUAAAAAAGCGCGAAAGUGGUGACUCUGUUUUUCAUUUCUUUUCAGUUGCGGCUCGAAAUGAUCCGUGCAACACGUGCCUGCGGUUGGGGUGGCACGACGCGCUUCUGUCGCAAAACGCUUCGACUCUGCUGGGGCCAGCAGCAAGUGAAACCGUCUGGAUGAUACGUACAAUAGCAAACAUUCUGGAAUAGAAGAGCUCGGGCAACAAGCAAGAAGCAAAAGCAAAUAGGAGGCGGUAGUGGGGGGGAAAUGGUGCAUUUAUACAAGCAGCGACUCAAUUAAGACUCCAGAUACUGGCGACCAUUGACGGUUAGAUGUCAUCACUAUGCGCAAAACAGUCAACUCAAGGUGGUGACGACGACCACAGACAUCGAACAGCCAAGCAAGAGUGCCUUGAAGACCAACAAAAGAAAUCAACGUCGCCUGCUCCGUUCAGGCAGCUCCUCUUCACGUUCGAAGGACAUUUAGUGAAAAGCCGGCUGGUAGUAGUAGUAGAUAUGUUGCUUCCUCCUUUAGCGCUAUGAAGUGACAGGGGAGAAACAAAAACGUGGCCCACACUCAAAAGCCGAGGCCAAGGGUAGUGGGUGUAAGUAAGUGCACUCGUACGACGACAUUGUUUGGCAACAACAAAAUCAAUGCAUGGAGACCAUCGUACAUAAAAAAAAAUGUAAUCCAGCU